AGCAGUAGCCGCGGUAAUACGUAGGGUGCAAGCGUUAUCCGGAAUUAUUGGGCGUAAAGAGCUCGUAGGCGGUUUGUCGCGUCUGCUGUGAAAACUGGAGGCUCAACCUCCAGCCUGCAGUGGGUACGGGCAGACUAGAGUGCGGUAGGGGAGAUUGGAAUUCCUGGUGUAGCGGUGGAAUGCGCAGAUAUCAGGAGGAACACCGAUGGCGAAGGCAGAUCUCUGGGCCGUAACUGACGCUGAGGAGCGAAAGCGUGGGGAGCGAACAGGAUUAGAUACCCCAGUAGUCCCUGUCUCUUAUAC
rnacentral:rRNA from 1 species